UACGUAGGUGACAAGCGUUGUCCGGAUUUACUGGGCGUAAAGAGCGCGCAGGCGGUCGUUCAAGUCGAGUGUGAAAGCCCCCGGCUCAACUGGGGAGGGUCAUUCGAUACUGAUCGACUCGAAGGCAGGAGAGGGAAGUGGAAUUCCCGGUGUAGUGGUGAAAUGCGUAGAUAUCGGGAGGAACACCAGUGGCGAAGGCGACUUCCUGGCCUGUUCUUGACGCUGAGGCGCGAAAGCGUGGGUAGCAAACAGG
rnacentral:rRNA from 1 species